rnacentral:rRNA from 1 species
AUCCCUGAAAGAUGAUCAGGUAGAUAGGUCAGAGGUGGAAGUGUGGCGACACAUGGAGCUGACUGAUACUAAUCGAUCGAGGACUUAACCAAA